UAUUUAGCUUUAUUCAUAACCAUAAACUUAACUCUGCAAUUCAGGUACAUUUGGAGGGGAGCAAGGAAAGCAUGGAACCCAAAGAACUGCAAGAAGAGCAGAGAUGAUGGGGUGUUUUGAGCAGGGAGGGUGCUGGGUGCUCUCCUGAGCUAGAGGAAUGGUCUGGUCUGGUGUGGUCUGGUCUGGUGGU